GGGGGUGUAGCUCAGUUGGGAGAGCGCUUGAAUGGCAUUCAAGAGGUCAGGGGUUCGAUUCCCCUCAUCUCCACCA
rnacentral:tRNA from 3 species